rnacentral:pre_miRNA from 1 species
AGUGGAAUUACUGAAUCAUAAGGUAAGUAACUCUAAGUUACUGUCUGAAGAACUGUCAGACUGUUUUCCAAGUGGCUUUGCCAUUUUACAUUCCUACCAGUAGU